AUGUUACUUACAAGCAUGUUCAGUUUGGAGACUUUAGAGAGUCAGUUAUCUGCUGUAAUGGAGACUCUGGUGAAAGGGGCGGUGGCGGAGCUCAGCACACUUCUGGACCAGUACCAGUGCUCGGCUAACGCCAAGGCUAUGGCCGCUAAGCAGCGCUCGGUUCCGGCUACGGUAACGUUAACUCCCAUGAAGACCGAAGAGGAGGAGAGCGAAGUGACUCCACCGGAGGAGAGGCGACAAUUGAAUAAAGCUAUAACGAAGCAGUUUGCAUCCCUCAUGGAAGCGUGGGCCAAAGGUGCAGUAGAGAAAAUACUGAUAAUGCUGAAGGCGUCUAUGUGUGAGGCGGAGGAUGGUCCUGCUGCCUCGAGUGACAAGGCGAAACCGACGGGCAUGAAGACAAGAUCAGGGCGAGUGGCCGGGCCCCAAAAGCAAUCAGCGACCAGGAGCUCACGACAGAAGAAAAAGAAAAUGAAGGGAGGACUGGAAGCAGCAAUAAGAAAGGAGAAUGACCAUAUGUAUUACCGAGGUAUUUACUGAUGACAUGAUUCCUUCAGUGAAAUCAAUAUGAAAUACCAACCAAAAACUUCAGGUCUUCACUUACUCCGAAUUCUAACGGCUGCUAAAUAUCUGUCACUCAUAAAACAAUCCUUUAUCCUCGGAGCAGAUUCACUGGCAGAGAUAAAGCUUUGUGCAGUUCCACGUUGGAUUUGUUCCUGGCUCAUAGUAGCUGUGACUGGACAGACUCAAUGCUCCGUGAAGCAUACCAUGUUUCUGAACAGAACAUUGUAGCUCUGUUUUAAGGAGAGGUUCACUGAAGUUAAUAUCACGUUUUGUGUUUUCAGAGGAGCAACAGACGGCACUAACGGCAGCAGCAGCUGACUCAGAGUCAGCCAUCAAAGCUGGUAAUUAAUGCUUCUUUACAAGCAGAACGGAUACUUCCUGUGUGUGAGAACAAGUACCAAAGUGCAGUCUUGAAUGUGUGCGUGCAGUAUACUGGAAUUGUUGUUGCUAUUUGCAGUUGUUGCUGUUCUCUUUAAAGUCACUGAUAUUAAACAUUAUAUUUUCUGUCAUUAUUUUAGGUCAUUGUUUCACACUGAACCUGAAAACCCUGUUUCCCUGUCUUACAAUCUAGCUGUGCUUCAUGAACAAAAACAUUCAGAAAUUGUAUUCUAAUUUGUUGUGGGUUGCUGUGUUUGACUGUGUUAGCUGUUUACAUCUCACUUUGUUUCUUGUCCGCUAAUGAAGCUUUGUUUUAGUUUCAGCUGAUGCAGCCCCACCUGAGACUAGCUCUGGAUCUCAGCCUGAAGCUACGCUAACAGAGCCCGUCUCAGAGCUGGCCUCUGAUGUAAGCAGGGAAGGUGUCGUCCAGGAGGAUGGUGGCACUUCAUCUACCACAUCCAAGAUCAAAAAGAAGAAGACCACCACAGGGCCAUUCAAAUGUCCUUCUUGUGACAAAU
rnacentral:lncRNA from 15 species